CCUACGGGAGGCAGCAGUGAGGAAUAUUGGUCAAUGGACGCAAGUCUGAACCAGCCAUGUCGCGUGCAGGAUGACGGCCCUAUGCAUUGUAAACUUCUUUUAUACGGGGGUAAUUUCAGCCACGUGUGUCUGGUUGAAAGUACCGUAUGAAUAAGGAUCGGCUAACUCCGUGCCAGCAGCCGCGGUAAUACGGAGGAUCCGAGCGUUAUCCGGAUUUAUUGGGUUUAAAGGGUGCGUAGGCGGUCAGGUAAGUUAGAGGUGAAAGCUCGAUGCUCAACCUCGAAAUUGCCGUUGAAACUGUCUGGCUAGAGUGUAGUUGCGGAAGGCGGAAUGUGUGGUGUAGCGGUGAAAUGCUUAGAUAUCACGCAGAACACCGAUUGCGAAGGCAGCUUACCAAGCUAUUACUGACGCUGAGGCACGAAAGCGUGGGGAGCGAACAGGAUUAGAUACCCGUGUAGUC
rnacentral:rRNA from 1 species